rnacentral:rRNA from 1 species
GACGAACGCUGGCGGCGUGCUUAACACAUGCAAGUCGAACGGAAAGGCCCUACUUUUGUGGGUUUCUCGAUUGGCGAACGCGUGAGUAACACGUGAGUAACCUGCCCUUGACUUUCGGAUAACUUCACGAAACUGCGGCUAAUACCUGAUAUGAUCUUCUGCUGCAUGUGGGGGGUUGGAAAGUUUCGGCGGUUGGGGAUGGACUCGCUGCUUAUCAGCUUGUUGGUCGGGUAGUGGCUUACCAAGGCUUUGACGGGUAGCCUGCCUGAGAGGGUGACCGGCCACAUUGGGCCUGAGAGACGGACCAGACUGCUACGGGCGGCAGCAGUGGGGAACAUUGCACAAUGGGCGGAAGCCUGAUGCAGCAGCGCCGCGUGCGGGAUGCCCGGCUUCGGGGUGUAAACAGAUGUCGAAUGUGCCGAAGCGAGCGUGACGGUAAUGAGUAAAGAAGCAACGGCUAACUACGUG